UACGUAGGGUGCGAGCGUUGUCCGGAAUUAUUGGGCGUAAAGAGCUCGUAGGCGGUUUGUCGCGUCUGCUGUGAAAUCCCGAGGCUCAACCUCGGGUCUGCAGUGGGUACGGGCAGACUGGAGUGCGGUAGGGGAGAAUGGAACUCCUGGUGUAGCGGUGGAAUGCGCAGAUAUCAGGAAGAACACCGAUGGCGAAGGCAGUUCUCUGGGCCGUAACUGACGCUGAGGAGCGAAAGCGUGGGGAGCGAACAGG
rnacentral:rRNA from 1 species